AUGGCGCUCGCAGCAGCAACCCUCGGCUCCUCUCCGCUCGUAUCUAUCUCUGUUUCCGCCGCUAGGAUGAACAGCAGCGGCUUGUCCGUGUCGUUCGGGGCGCGCCGUGUGCCGGGGAUUUCUGUGCAAAUUCAUUCCCAGCGGAGGAGCAUGGUCAUGGCAGCGGCAGCGAGAGGGGAGGAAGGGGCCGUGAAGACCUUCGUGGAGGAGAUGAGGGCUACGGCGAUGCGGCUGCACACCAAGGACCAGGCCGGCGAAGGGGAGAAGGAGCUCAAGGGACCGUCACUCCACGAGCAGGAGCCUAACCUUGAGGCCUACUUGCGCUUCCUCGUCGACAGCAAGCUCAUCUUCCAAACGCUCGAGAACAUCGUCAACCGCGCCGCUGUCCCAUGUUAUGCGGAGUUUCGGAAUACUGGGUUAGAGAGAUCAGAGGCACUGAAGAAAGAUCUGAAAUGGUUCGGCGAACAGGGUCACACAAUUCCAGAACCAUCUGCUCUUGAAACUACAUAUGCUUCCUAUCUCGAAGAAUUGUCUAAAAAGGACCAGCAAGCAUUUUUCUGUCACUUCUAUAAUUUGUACUUUGCUCAAUCUGCUGGAGGUCGAAUGACCGGCAAAAAGAUUGCUGAGAAGAUUCUGAACAAGAAAGAGCUGGAAUUCUACAAGUGGGAAGGUACCCUGUCCGAGCUGCUACAGAAUGUCCGCAAAAAACUUAACCAAGUUGCUUCUAGCUGGACCCAGGAAGAGAAGAACCACUGCCUGGAGGAGACUGAGACGGCGUUCGCCUAUUCAGUAGAUCGUCUGCGCAAGAUAUUCACCUGA
rnacentral:rRNA from 1 species